GUAUACUUAAAGUGUACAAAACUAUCAGUCAUAUUUUCACUUUUUUCGUGUUUUAGAAAUUCUUAGCAAUGUCUUCGAUUAAUUUCUGAUUUAUUUUCAUAUUCCACCAUUGUCUUGCACAAUACCAUAUAGACAAGCAAAAUUGCGAUCAGAAUUUUCACCUGAUGUUUCUAUCGAAAAAUCACAAUAUUUGGAAACAGGAUUCUUAAGGAUUUCCAAAGGACCCUGUAAUCUUGUUUUGGUUAGUUAUAGUUUAUAUAAUUUGAAAAUUUGAUAAAGAAUUAUUUUUAUGGUAAUUUUUUUCCUUAUUACUUUAAGAAAUAAAGUCUUGUUUAUUAAAUCUUGAAAAGAUGGUGUGUAUGUUAAAAUCUUUCAAAUGUUGGUAUUUCCUUUUAUGUCUUCCUCAAACCUUAAAGAAGAAAUAGAAGGAAAUAUCUAAGAAAAAUGUGGAAAAUACUCCAAAUCUUCAACA